AUGCCAAAGCCGCUGCCUCACAUAGCAGCAAACACACACGCACCCUGCUCCCCCGUCUCAGGUGUUACUACUCCACGUGCAGCCCAGAACACACUCCUCUCCCAGGCAGCUCAGGGUCUUGUUCAGCAAAGCCCAGUGGUGAUGAUGGCCACUCUUCUCCAGAGUCCACCAUCCCUGAUGAUAACCGUCCUCUUUUGUGAGGUUCUACAACCUGUGCGUUACUGGGGAAAGUGGACUGUAGUCAACCAAAACGAUGGAGUGAGCCGGGGAGGAAGCGCUGGUCCUGGGCCCUCAUUUGUGACCAGAGAUCUGGGGCUUGUGGGAGGUGUCCAGCCCCAGAGUGCGCCCGGGUGCCAGGCACUCAGUCCCGGACAUGGACAUUCCAGGAGCCACUCCCGGAAUGCCCGCCUGCCCGUCUCUGGUCCCGCCCCCUUCACACAGCAACAGGCAUUCCUCUGGGCAGAUUCUUCACCCCAGCUGCUCCCCGUCCUGUUCUCCGUCGCUCAGGGGUACGAGGUGGCCGCCUGGGCUGCCAAGUCAGGUGAACCGUCACUGUGUCUUCAUGAGGACUCUUCCUUGGGGCCUAAAACCUCACCACCCCCCUGGCCCCAGACCUCCGGUGUGAGAAAGGCAGUGAGGCACGGUGACGGGACAUCGGUCUCCGCACUGCCUCCCAGCCCUGCAGGGCGAAGGUGCCAUGGGUCGGCUGCCAGUUCCGAGCUUGCUCCGCCUUCUGCAGCUCGGCGCCAGCCUCUUAAUGGUGUUUCAGGGCUGCCUCUGGGACUCCCGACCAGGGGAGGGCAUGCCCUACACAUCGGCCCGCUGCCGCCCUCCCUCACUGUCUGCAGGAGCUUGGUCCCAGGACCCCCCACCCCCGAGGAUGUCAAACCCGCAGAUGCUGUGCUGCGUAGGAACCGCACACAGCCCCCUGCAGACGUUCAGCCGUCUCUGGCUGACGGUUCCCGACACAGCCUAAGUACCAUAGGGAUGGCCGCUCUGUCGUGUUAG
rnacentral:lncRNA from 1 species